GUGCUCGCUUUGGCAGCACACACACUAAAAUUAGAACGAUACAGAGAACAUUAGCAUGGCCCCUGAGCAAGGACACACACAAAUACGUGAAAUGUUCCAUAUUUAA